CUUCUCUCAUCCCACACAGAAGAAAGGUUCAACGUGCUCUUUGGGUGGAGUCCCUCGUCCAAAAAAGAGUCGUUGAUGAUGCGAUGGGCGAGGAAGCACAGGGACCUUGUGGAUCAGGUUUUGGUACGGGAGCUCCAAGCAGAGGAAUCUAGCUGGACACAAUAUGAUGAGGAUGAAGCAUCAGUGAAAGUACAAGUUGCAAGUGAAAUCCUUGAUGACCUCGUCUCAGACACUGUCACAGUUUUCACGGAAAUCAUAGCAAGGAAGAUGACACUUAUUGGAAGAUAGGAAGUCUUUCAUAUGGAAAGAGAUUUCUUCAGUGUCUUAAUUUUGCCUCUGAUUACACUGCAUAGCUGGUCAGACAAUUUCAAUGUUUACAUAUUUUACUUUAAUUAAUUUCUUCAUUAGGGCUUUCAUUUUCUGCACCACUCUUGUGUAUUAGUUUAAAUGUUACAUUGGUAAACAAACACAACCGUCCAGUUUUACCUCUACAACAACAAAAAAAGACUACACUUGCCAUGAGAAAUGGUACGUUUCCGUAAACAAUACUGUGUUAGGGAUUUGAGUACUAACAUUACAAGCACUGUGAUAUUUCAGGUGUGUCAAAGGAUUUGUUUUGAAAGUGAAGCUCAUUUGGAUAAUGCUUUAUCACCAGUAACGACUGCCUUAAUGUAAAGUUAGUAUAUGUGAAAAAGGCAUUUAUGAGGUGGUAUAUGCCAUUGAGUUUGCAUUUUUUAAAACAUUUUCCGCAUUUUGUGUGAUAGAAGUUAUUUUUUAGCAAUAUCAAUAACUUUUUUGUUUUAAGAUUGCUGCGUAUUGUUUUUGUACAAUCCAAAAUAAAUUUGUAAGUGAU